UUUGGAAUUUUGGACAAUGGGCGAAAGCCUGAUCCAGCGACGCCGCGUGGACGAUGAAGGCCUUCGGGUUGUAAAGUCCUUUUGCUCGGGAACAAUAUUUUGAGCGUACCGAGAGAAUAAGAGGUUGCUAACUCUGUGCCAGCAGCAGCGGUAAUACAGAGACCUCAAGCGUUAUCCGGAAUCAUUGGGCGUAAAGCGUACCGAUAGGUGGUUUUACAAGUCAGAAGUGAAAUCUUAAGGCUCAACCUUGAGACUGUCUUUUGAAACUGUAAAACUAGAGGGGCAAAGAGGAAGCUGGAACGAACGGUGUAGUAGUGAAAUGCGUUGAUAUCGUUCGGAACACCAAUAGCGUAGGCAGGCUUCUGGGUGCCACCUGACACUGCUAGGACGAAAGCGUGGG
rnacentral:rRNA from 1 species